rnacentral:rRNA from 1 species
AUUGAACGCUGGCGGCAGGCCUAACACAUGCAAGUCGAGCGGAUGAGUGGAGCUUGCUCCAUGAUUCAGCGGCGGACGGGUGAGUAAUGCCUAGGAAUCUGCCUGGUAGUGGGGGACAACGUUUCGAAAGGAACGCUAAUACCGCAUAUGUCCUACGGGAGAAAGCAGGGGACCUUCGGGCCUUGCGCUAUCAGAUGAGCCUAGGUCGGAUUAGCUAGUAGGUGAGGUAAUGACUCACCUAGGCGACGAUCCGUAACUGGUCUGAGAGGAUGAUCAGUCACACUGGAACUGAGACACGGUCCAGACUCCUACGGGAGGCAGCAGUGGGGAAUAUUGGACAAUGGGCGAAAGCCUGAUCCAGCCAUGCCGCGUGUGUGAAGAAGGUCUUCGGAUUGUAAAGCACUUUAAGUUGGGAGGAAGGACAGUAAGUUAAUACCUUGCUGUUUUGACGUUACCAACAGAAUAAGCACCGGCUAACUUCGUGCCAGCCGCCGCUGUAACAC